GAAGAGAGCUUGCUCUCUGAUUCAGCGGCGGACGGGUGAGUAAUGCCUAGGAAUCUGCCUGGUAGUGGGGGACAACGUCUCGAAAGGGACGCUAAUACCGCAUACGUCCUACGGGAGAAAGCAGGGGACCUUCGGGCCUUGCGCUAUCAGAUGAGCCUAGGUCGGAUUAGCUAGUUGGUGAGGUAAUGGCUCACCAAGGCGACGAUCCGUAACUGGUCUGAGAGGAUGAUCAGUCACACUGGAACUGAGACACGGUCCAGACUCCUACGGGAGGCAGCAGUGGGGAAUAUUGGACAAUGGGCGAAAGCCUGAUCCAGCCAUGCCGCGUGUGUGAAGAAGGUCUUCGGAUUGUAAAGCACUUUAAGUUGGGAGGAAGGGUUGUAGAUUAAUACUCUGCAAUUUUGACGUUACCGACAGAAUAAGCACCGGCUAACUCUGUGCCAGCAGCCGCGGUAAUACAGAGGGUGCAAGCGUUAAUCGGAAUUACUGGGCGUAAAGCGCGCGUAGGUGGUUUGUUAAGUUGGAUGUGAAAG
rnacentral:rRNA from 2 species